GAACUUUGGCCUCAGGAAAAUAAUUUUUCCCUUUACCUUUCUAAUGUAACAUUUGUUCCCCUUUCUACAUCAAUUCAUGGAUCUCUGUUUGAGUCUGUCCAAUGCCACUCUUGUUACCCAUUAAGAGUCAGAUAUCAAGUCUUUUCAUACUACAUCUAAAUCUUCAACUUCCUUCCCCUUACAUUUCAUGCGUUCUUCCAUCCCGGCCCUGUCCUGGACAUUGCUAUCAAGAUCUCAUUGAUGAUUGUUAUCAACACCUCAUCCUGCUUCUGCCACCACCGGCCCCAUCUAACACUGCUCAGUCCACUGCUAGUGGAAGACAGCCAUGGAUCUGGGGAACUCAGGGAAUGAUUCAGUUGUGACCAAGUUUGUCCUGCUGGGCCUCACAGAGACUGCAGCUCUACAGCCCAUCCUCUUUGUCAUCUUCCUUCUUGCUUACGUCACUACCAUUGGAGGCACCCUCAGCAUCCUGGCGGCCAUCCUUAUGGAAACCAAACUCCACAGCCCCAUGUACUUCUUCCUGGGGAACUUGUCCCUGCCAGAUGUGGGGUGUGUCAGUGUCACUGUCCCUGCCAUGCUGAGCCAUUUCAUAUCCAACGACAGAAGCAUUCCCUAUAAGGCCUGCCUCUCCGAGCUCUUCUUCUUCCACCUCCUGGCUGGGGCAGACUGCUUCUUGCUGACCAUCAUGGCCUAUGACCGCUAUCUGGCCAUCUGCCAGUCCCUCACCUACAGCAGCCGCAUGAGCUGGGGAAUCCAGCAAGCCCUGGUGGGCAUGUCAUGUGUCUUUUCCUUCACCAAUGCACUGACCCAAACUGUUGCCCUGUCUCCUCUUAACUUCUGUGGCCCCAAUGUGAUCAAUCACUUCUACUGUGACCUCCCACAGCCCUUCCAGCUCUCCUGCUCCAGUGUUCAUCUCAAUGGGCAGUUGCUGUUUGUAGCAGCAGCUUUCAUGGGUGUGGCCCCCUUGGUCCUCAUCACUGUGUCCUAUGCCCAUGUGGCAGCUGCAGUCCUGCGAAUCCGCUCUGCAGAGGGCAGAAAGAAAGCCUUCUCCACGUGUAGUUCCCACCUCACUGUGGUGGGCAUCUUCUAUGGGACGGGCGUCUUCAGCUACACAAGGCUGGGUUCAGUGGAGUCUUCGGACAAGGACAAGGGCAUUGGCAUCCUCAACACUGUCAUCAGCCCCAUGCUGAACCCACUCAUCUACUGGACAUCUCUGCUGGACGUCGGGUGCAUCAGUCACUGUUCCUCCGAUGCUGGCGUGUCUCCAGGCCCACCAGUGCAGAGUUCCCUAUGCUGCCUGCAGUUCACAGCUCUUCUUUCCCCACCUCCUGGCUGGGGUGGACUGUCACCUCUUAAUAGCCAUGGCCUAUGACCGCUACCUGGCUAUCUGUCAGCUUCUCACCAACAGCACUCGCAUGAGCUGUGAAGUCCAGGGUGCCCUGGUGGGAAUUUGCUGCACUG
ensembl:lncRNA novel transcript